rnacentral:hammerhead_ribozyme from 1 species
AUCCAGCUGAGGAGUGCUAAACAGGACGGAAUAUGCAUCCUGGAU